rnacentral:lncRNA from 1 species
UGGAGCAUCGGUUAGAGGUGCCUCCAUGGGUGGAGGAUGGUUUGGCAUAGGUUCAGAAUCUAGGGGUGCAGGGAUAGAGCCAGUUUCUAGCAUCAGCGGCAGUGAUGCACAGCAUGAUUCUAUGCGGAAUGUGCGAGUACCAGAGAGCCGUGAUUUUGAAGAGACAAUGUCAGAUGGAUUGUUUGCAGCAAGAGAGGAUCC